AUCUGAGUCUAUCCAUAUGUGGCUCUGGACCAUGUGAGUGUGGUCCAUACAUUCUUUUACAUCACCCCGUUGGGCUCGAUAUACUUCACUAUUGCAUUUAUAUUUUUCCCUUGUAGGAAAUUGUGUAUUAAUAUACUUCCCCAUACUGUAUAGGGGUAAGUCCACUUGUAUUAUAGCGCUCCACUAAGUGUACUCUUUUGGUGGUUUGUUCCACCUGGGUCACCUGUUCAUCAAUACUUUUUGUGUGUAAUUUUGGGGGCAUUUACACGUGUGUAGAGCUGCUGUUUACCCACCUACAGUUAUUCUGUUAACUCACUAAGCGCCUCUUGUAC